rnacentral:tRNA from 1 species
GCAGUGGUGGUUCAGGGGUAGAAUUCUCGCCUUCCACGCGGGAGACCCAGGUUCAAGUCCAGAUUAGUGCG